GAUGAACGCUAGCUACAGGCCUAACACAUGCAAGUCGAGGGGCAUCGGGAGGGAAGCUUGCUUCCCUUGCCGGCGACCGGCGCACGGGUGAGUAACGCGUAUCGAACCUGCCCCAUACCCGGGGAUAGCCUUGCGAAAGUAAGAUUAAUACCCGAUGGCUUCCUUUUAUCUCCUGAUAGAGGGAAUAAAGAAUUUCGGUAUGGGAUGGCGAUGCGUCUGAUUAGCUAGUUGGUGAGGUAACGGCUCACCAAGGCGACGAUCAGUAGCCGGUCUGAGAGGAUGAACGGCCACAUUGGGACUGAGACACGGCCCAG
rnacentral:rRNA from 1 species